UUUAUCUUCCCCAUGUGAUCACGUCUUCUUCUCACUGAUCAACACUUCAUACAGAACGUUUAUGGGCUGGUCCAGCCACUUUCAGACUUUCAGGGCAAAGUGACUUCCUUCCCCUCAUUUGUUGUUAUCCUGUAACUCCCUUUUGCUGGAGAACUGCAUGGAUGAAGGAUAGAGUAAUACAGUCUACAAGUAGGCUACGGUAAUAAGGAUACAAACUGCACUGGUCCUGAAAUGCCAAGAUGGGCCAUUUACACCAUCUUUGCCGUCAUCGUCUUGCUGUUUUUGGUGUGUAUUAUUUGGGUCUUUGUGAAAUACUGCUGCAAGAGCAAGAAAAAGAGAAAGAACAACCCAGACCAUCAGAUAAAUCUACAAGGGGUGACUGGUUCCACGACUACAUCGCUAGUAAGUAAAGGUAGUAGUAGUAGUACUAGCUUGGUCUUCGUGGGAUAACUCAGAGCGUCUGCUCCAUUCUAUCCAUUUCUUCUUGCUUGGAUUGGUCGCCGUUGUGGAGGAGUGAAGUGGAGGUGUAGCCUUAGCUCCUUAUGUACAGCACCAGUCAAAAGUUCUACUCAUUCAAGAGUUUCUCUUUAUUAUUUUCGCUAUUUUCUACAUUGUAGAAUAAUAGUGAAGACAUCAAAACUAUGAAAUAACACAUAUGGAAUCAUGUAGUAUCCAAAAAAGUAUCAAACAAAUCAAAAUACUGUAUAUUUUAGAUUCUUCAAAGUAGCCACCCUUUGCUUUGAUGACAGCUUUGCACACUCUUGGCAUUCUCUCAAACAGCUUCAUGUGGAAUGCUUUUUCAACAGUCUUGAAGGAGUUCCCACAUAUGCUGAGCACUUCUUGGAUGCUUUUCCUUCACUCUGCGGUCCAACUCAUUCUAAAGCAAUUGGGUUGAGGUUGGGUGACUGUGGAGACCAGGUCAUCUGAUGCUACACCAUCACUCUCCUUCUUGGUCAAAUAGCCCUUACACAGCCUGGAUGUGUGUUUUAGGUCAUUGUCCUGUUGAAAACAAACGAUAGUCCCACUAAGCGCAAACCAGAUAGGAUGGUGUAUCACUGCAGAAUGCUGUGGUAGGCAUGCUGGUUAAGUGUGCCUUGAAUUCUAAAUAAAUCACAGACAGUGUCACCAACAAAACACCCCCUACACCAUCACACCUCCUCCAUGCUUCAUGGUGGGAACCACAUGCGGAUAUUAUCCAAAAAUCUCAAAUUUAGAUUUAUCAGACCAAAG
rnacentral:lncRNA from 13 species